CAUGCAGGCGGUUAGGCAAGUCAGAUGUGAAAUCCCCGCGCUUAACGUGGGCAUUGCAUUUGAAACUAUGUAGCUAGAGUUCUGUAGAGGGGGGUAGAAUUCCAGGUGUAGCGGUGAAAUGCGUAGAGAUCUGGAGGAAUACCGAUUGCGAAGGCAGCCCCCUGGACAGUGACUGACGCUGAGGCACGAAAGCGUGGGGAUCGAACAGGAUUAGAUACCCCCGUA
rnacentral:rRNA from 1 species